UUUGUCCCUAACUCUGAUGCAUGAGAGGAGAGAGGAGAAUGAAAGGCACCUGACGCUGGAGCGCCCAUAAGACAGAUACGAAGAUAAUUGGCUGUGCUGCAACAAGAGGGGGCUUGCGGAUGAGAGGCUCACCAGGUCCUGCUCCCAUUUGACAGGCCAGUACAGUUUUAUCUACAAACUCUUCUCAUAUGUGUCUGCUGCUACUUAGUUGUACAUACUCACAUUUAUAGUGGGAACACAUUUAGUUGGGUGUAUAUAUUUAUUAGUGCUAGACAAUAAGAGCAGUAGUUUUGUGGGUAAAAAGAAAGGCUUGGCAAUAGACUGACCAGUUGAAAGGGCUGAUUAAGUACCGUAGUAUUGUUGAAUUAAAAGAGCAUUUCCAAAGGUCUAAAUUUUGCUGAAACGUGUGGAUGUGGUUUGUCAUUGCUGCUUGGUAAAAUCACACAGAUUGAUCUUUUACGGGUGUUGAUAAGUUUUAGGCCUCAGGGGAUGCUUCAUGAGAAGCACUAGGGGACAAUCGCGCCCACUCAGAGGACCUGUAAACCCUGAUAGGGGGACAGAACCUGGAUUUUAGGGGUGCCCAGAAGACCUAAAAGGGGGGUGUCAGCUGGUAGUGUCAGGGCCAGAACAAGAGCCAACCAUUGAAGUGAAAGUGAAUGAUAAACCAUUGACAGUUAUGGCAGAUUGCGGAGCUGCUUUCACCUGUGUUGAGAAUAAUUUUAAAGUGGGGAAAAGUUUCAUAAAAAAAAUCCUGAGUACACCCCAUAAUGUCCUCAAUGAGCUGAAUUUUUGAAGCCCAGAAUAGUUUCUGUAGCUCAAAGUUUGUGGGUGGAGAUAGGUGGUGAUGCAGACACAUAUUAACUGUGUGUACAUGCAGGUCUUUUAGACACACACACACGUGCACACACAUUGCCAGACUGUGUGUGUGUGUGUGUGUGUCGUUAAUGAUAGCAUCCUAAACAGCUGUGAGAUUAAAGGCAUUAACUGACCGACUGUUUGAAUGAGAAGCUGCCUCUGGACUUCUUCACAUAGCACGAUUUCCUUAUAACUAUAGUAAGGAAACAUUGAGCUCUGUGAGGAGAGGUGUGCUGAAGUUUGAGUGUGUGAGAGAAGCUUCUGGUGUGUGUGGGUGUGAGAGGAGUGUGUGUAUGGGUGCUGAGCUGUGUGUGUGAGGGCAAAAGAGUCUGUGUGCAGUGAGUGGUGUGUGCACAAAGUUGGGGAAUGGUCUAGCAUAAAUAUAAGUGAUUAACUUAUGAUAAAGUGAUGAAUGAUGUCUUAUUAAAUAUAUAAUGAUAUGAUAUAAGAAAUUAACAUAUAAGGGAAGAGAUACUGUUGCCUUUGUAGUGUUAAAAACAUAUGAGCCCUGUUUUUCUUUGUACAGGGACGUUAAUAGAAUAAGUAACUGCUAUGAGCCUCUCAGGAUAAAGAGGACGUUUGUACACCUAAUAGUAAGAAAUGAGCCCCUUAUUAGAUGAGGAGGACUUUGGAUGGUGAUAACAUCCUCGAUUAAAAUGGCAAUUAAAGAAGUGUACACAAGCACAUUUGUGUUCAUACAGAUACAGGGAAAAAACAGAGUAACAGAGUGGGGUAAAAUAAAAUGAUUUGCUAACUGAUGGGUAUGGUUUUCCUCUGUGUGUGUGUGAAUAUUUAAAGUGAAUGGUCACUUGCUGAUGAUUAUGUUUAGAGGGAAAAUCCCAGUUAAAAAUUGGAAAAAUCCAUGGAGCUUUCUCUCCCGCUUUCUUUCUCUUCUUGCAGGCCUGAGAACAGAAAGAAAGCUAAAAAAUCUAGUUUAACUAUCCUAGAUGUGUGAAAAUUUUAAAUGGUAUACCAUGGUAAAGGGGAAUGGUGUAUAAUAAAUUUAGGUAGUCUUAUGGUAGAAGAAAUCUUUAAUUAGUGGUAGGAAAUGUUGUUUUCAAGUUUAUUGAGUGAAUUGAUUGUAAUAUACUAAACAUUUGAUUUGUUCUUUGUCCCUAACUCUGAUGCAUGAGAGGAGAGAGGAGAAUGAAAGGCACCUGACGCUGGAGCGCCCAUCAGAGAGGCUCACCAGGUCCUGCUCCCAUUUGACAGGCCAGUACAGUUUUAUCUACAAACUCUUCUCCUAUGUGUCUGCUGCUACUUAGUUGUACAUACACACAUUUAUAGUGGGAACACAUUUAGUUGGGUGUAUAUAUUUAUUAGUGCUAGACAAUAAGAGCAGUAGUUUUGUGGGUAAAAAGAAAGGCUUGGCAAUAGACUGACCAGUUGAAAGGGCUGAUUAAGUACCGUAGUAUUGUUGAAUUAAAAGAGCAUAUCCAAGAGGUCUAAAUUUUGCUGAAACGUGUGGAUGUGGUUUGUCAUUGCUGCUCGGUAAAAUCACACAGAUUGAUCUUUUACGGGUGUUGAUAAGUCUUAGGCCUCAGGGGAUGCUUCAUGAGAAGCACUAGGGGACAAUCGCGCCCACUCAGAGGACCUGUAAACCCUGAUAGGGGGACAGAACCUUGAUUUUAGGGGUGCCCAGAAGACCUAAAAGGGGGGUGUCAGCUGGUAGUGUCAGGGCCAGAACAAGAGCCAACCAUUGAGGUGAAAGUGAAUGAUAAACCAUUGACAGUUAUGGCAGAUUGCGGAGCUGCUUUCACCUGUGUUGAGAAUAAUUCUAAAGUGGGGAAAAGUUUCAUAAAAAAAAUCCUGAGUACACCCUAUAAUGUCCUCAAUGAGCUGAAUUUUUGAAGCCCAGAAUAGUUUCUGUAGCUCAAAGUUUGUGGGUGGAGAUAGGUGGUGAUGCAGACACAUAUUAACUGUGUGUACAUGCAGGUAUUUUAGACACAGACACACACACACACACAUUGCCAGACUGUGUGUGUGUGUGUGUGUGUGUGUGUGUGUGUGUGUCGGUAAUGAUUGCAUCCUAAACAGCUGUGAGAUUAAAGGCAUUUACUGACCGACUGUUUGAAUGAGAAGCUGCCUCUGGACUUCUUCACAUAGUACGAUUUCCUAUAACUAUAGUAAGGAAACAUUGAGCUCUGUGAGGAGAGGUGUGCUGAAGUUUGAGUGUGUGAGAGAAGCUUCUGGUGUGUGUGUGAGAGGAGUGUGUGUAUGGGUGCUGAGCUGUGUGUGUGAGGGCAAAGGAGUCUGUGUGCAGUGAGUGGUGUGUGCACAAAGUUGGGGAAUGGUCUAGCAUAAAUAUAAGUGAUUAACUUAUGAUAAAGUGAUGAAUGAUGUCUUAUUAAAUAUAUAAUGAUAUGAUAUAAGAAAUUCACAUAUAAGGGAAGAGAUUCUGUUGCCUUUGUAGUGUUAAAAACAUAUGAGCCCUGUUUUUCUUUGUACAGGGACGUUAAUAGAAUAAGUAACUGCUAUGAGCCUCUCAGGAUAAAGAGGACGUUUGUACACCUAAUAGUAAGAAAUGAGCCCCUUAUUAGAUGAGGAGGACUUUGGAUGGUGAUAACAUCCUCGAUUAAAAUGGCAACUAAAGAAGUGUACACAAGCACAUUAGUGUUCAUACAGAUACAGGGAAAAAACAGAGUAACAGAGUGGGGUAAAAUAAAAUGAUUUGCUAACUGAUGGGUAUGGUUUUCCUCUGUGUGUGUGUGAAUAUUUAAAGUGAAUGGUCACUUGCUGAUGAUUAUGUUUAGAGGGAAAAUCCCAGUUAAAAAUUGGAAAAAUCCAGGGAGCUUUCUCUUCUUACAGGCCUGAGAACAGAAAGAAAGCUAAAAAAUCUAGUUUAACUAUCCUAGAUGUGUGAAAAUGUUAAAUGGUAUACCAUGGUAAAGGGGAAUGGUGUAUAAUAAAUUUAGGUAGUCUUAUGGUAGAAGAAAUCUUUAAUUAGUGGUAGGAAAUGUUGUUUUCAAGUGUAUUGAGUGAAUUGAUUGUAAUAUACUAAACAUUUGAUUUGUUCUUUGUCCCUAACUCUGAUGCAUGAGAGGAGAGAGGAGAAUGAAAGGCACCUGACGCUGGAGCGCCCAUAAGACAGAUGUUGCUGUGCUGCAACAAGAGGGGGCUUGCAGAUGAGAGGCUCACCAGGUCCUGCUCCCAUUUGACAGGCCAGUACAGUUUUAUCUACAAACUCUUCUCCUAUGUGUCUGCUGCUACUUAGUUGUACAUACACACAUUUAUAGUGGGAACACAUUUAGUUGGGUGUAUAUAUUUAUUAGUGCUAGACAAUAAGAGCAGUAGUUUUGUGGGUAAAAAGAAAGGCUUGGCAAUAGACUGACCAGUUGAAAGGGCUGAUUAACUACCGUAGUAUUGUUGAAUUAAAAGAGCAUUUCCAAGAGGUCUUAAUUUUGCUGAAACGUGUGGAUGUGGUUUGUCAUUGCUGCUCGGUAAAAUCACACAGAUUGAUCUUUUACGGGUGUUGAUAAGUCUUAGGCCUCAGGGGAUGCUUCAUGAGAAGCACUAGGGGACAAUCGCGCCCACUCAGAGGACCUGUAAACCCUGAUAGGGGGACAGAACCUUGAUUUUAGGGGUGCCCAGAAGACCUAAAAGGGGGGUGUCAGCUGGUAGUGUCAGGGCCAGAACAAGAGCCAACCAUUGAGGUGAAAGUGAAUGAUAAACCAUUGACAGUUAUGGCAGAUUGCGGAGCUGCUUUCACCUGUGUUGAGAAUAAUUCUAAAGUGGGGAAAAGUUUCAUAAAAAAAAUCCUGAGUACACCCCAUAAUGUCCUCAAUGAGCUGAAUUUUUGAAGCCCAGAAUAGUUUCUGUAGCUCAAAGUUUGUGGGUGGAGAUAGGUGGUGAUGCAGACACAUAUUAACUGUGUGUACAUGCAGGUAUUUUAGACACAGACACACAUGCACACACAUUGCCAGACUGUGUGUGUGUGUGUGUGUGUGUGUGUGUGUGUGUGUGUGUGUGUGUGUGUGUGUGUGUGUGUGUGUGUGUGUGUGUGUGUCGUUAAUGAUCGCAUCCUAAACAGCUGUGAGAUUAAAGGCAUUAACUGACCGACUGUUUGAAUGAGAAGCUGCCUCUGGACUUCCUCACAUAGUACGAUUUCCUUAUAACUAUAGUAAGGAAACAUUGAGCUCUGUGAGGAGAGGUGUGCUGAAGUUUGAGUGUGUGAGAGAAGCUUCUGGUGUGUGUGUGUGUGAGAGGAGUGUGUGUAUGGGUGCUGAGCUGUGUGUGUGAGGGCAAAAGAGUCUGUGUGCAGUGAGUGGUGUGUGCACAAAGUUGGGGAAUGGUCUAGCAUAAAUAUAAGUGAUUAACUUAUGAUAAAGUGAUGAAUGAUGUCUUAUUAAAUAUAUAAUGAUAUGAUAUAAGAAAUUAACAUAUAAGGGAAGAGAUUCUGUUGCCUUUGUAGUGUUAAAAACAUAUGAGCCCUGUUUUUCUUUGUACAGGGACGUUAAUAGAAUAAGUAACUGCUAUGAGCCUCUCAGGAUAAAGAGGACGUUUGUACACCUAAUAGUAAGAAAUGAGCCCCUUAUUAGAUGAGGAGGACUUUGGAUGGUGAUAACAUCCUCGAUUAAAAUGGCAACUAAAGAAGUGUACACAAGCACAUUAGUGUUCAUACAGAUACAGGGAAAAAAUAGAGUGGGGUAAAAUGGAAUGAUUUGCUAACUGAUGGGUAUGGUUUUCUUCUGUGUGUGUAUGUGAAUAUUUAAAGUGAAUGGUCACUUGCUGAUGAUUAUGUUUAGAGGGAAAAUCCCAGUUAAAAAUUGGAAAAAUCCAUGGAGCUUUCUCUUCUUACAGGCCUGAGAACAGAAAGAAAGCUAAAAAAUCUAGUUUAACUAUCCUAGAUGUGUGAAAAUUUUAAAUGGUAUACCAUGGUAAAGGGGAAUGGUGUAUAAUAAAUUUAGGUAGUCUUAUGGUAGAAGAAAUCUUUAAUUAGUGGUAGGAAAUGUUGUUUUCAAGUGUAUUGAGUGAAUUGAUUGUAAUAUACUAAACAUUUGAUUUGUUCUUUGUCCCUAACUCUGAUGCAUGAGAGGAGAGAGGAGAAUGAAAGGCACCUGACGCUGGAGCGCCCAUAAGACAGAUACGAAGAUAAAUGGCUGUGCUGCAACAAGAGGGGGCUUGCGGAUGAGAGGCUCACCAGGUCCUGCUCCCAUUUGACAGGCCAGUACAGUUUUAUCUACAAACUCUUCUCCUAUGUGUCUGCUGCUACUUAGUUGUACAUACACACAUUUAUAGUGGGAACACAUUUAGUUGGGUGUAUAUAUUUAUUUGUGCUAGACAAUAAGAGCAGUAGUUUUGUGGGUAAAAAGAAAGGCUUGGCAAUAGACUGACCAGUUGAAAGGGCUGAUUAAGUACCGUAGUAUUGUUGAAUCAAAAGAGCAUUUCCAAAGGUCUAAAUUUUGCUGAAACGUGUGGAUGUGGUUUGUCAUUGCUGCUCGGUAAAAUCACACAGAUUGAUCUUUUACGGGUGUUGAUAAGUUUUAGGCCUCAGGGGAGGCUUCAUGAGAAGCACUAGGGGACAAUCGCGCCCACUCAGAGGCCCUGUAAACCCUGAUAGGGGGACAGAACCUGGAUUUUAGGGGUGCCCAGAAGACCUAAAAGGGGGGUGUCAGCUGGUAGUGUCAGGGCCAGAACAAGAGCCAACCAUUGAGGUGAAAGUGAAUGAUAAACCAUUGACAGUUAUGGCAGAUUGCGGAGCUGCUUUCACCUGUGUUGAGAAUAAUUUUAAAGUGGGGAAAAGUUUAAUAAAAAAAAUCCUGAGUACACCCCAUAAUGUCCUCAAUGAGCUGAAUUUUUGAAGCCCAGAAUAGUUUCUGUAGCUCAAAGUUUGUGGGUGGAGAUAGGUGGUGAUGCAGACACAUAUUAACUGUGUGUACAUGCAGGUCUUUUAGACAGUGUGUGUAUGGGUGCUGAGCUGUGUGUGUGAGGGCAAAAGAGUCUGUGUGCAGUGAGUGGUGUGUGCACAAAGUUGGGGAAUGGUCUAGCAUAAAUAUAAGUGAUUAACUUAUGAUAAAGUGAUGAAUGAUGUCUUAUUAAAUAUAUAAUGAUAUGAUAUAAGAAAUUCACAUAUAAGGGAAGAGAUACUGUUGCCUUUGUAGUGUUAAAAACAUAUGAGCCCUGUUUUUCUUUGUACAGGGACGUUAAUAGAAUAAGUAACUGCUAUGAGCCUCUCAGGAUAAAGAGGACGUUUGUACACCUAAUAGUAAGAAAUGAGCCCCUUAUUAGAUGAGGAGGACUUUGGAUGGUGAUAACAUCCUCGAUUAAAAUGGCAACUAAAGAAGUGUACACAAGCACAUUUGUGUUCAUACAGAUACAGGGAAAAAACAGAGUGGGGUAAAAUGAAAUGAUUUGCUAACUGAUGGGUAUGGUUUUCCUCUGUGUGUGUGUGAAUAUUUAAAGUGAAUGGUCACUUGCUGAUGAUUAUGUUUAGAGGGAAAAUCCCAGUUAAAAAUUGGAAAAAUCCAGGGAGCUUUCUCUUCUUACAGGCCUGAGAACAGAAAGAAAGCUAAAAAAUCUAGUUUAACUAUCCUAGAUGUGUGAAAAUUUUAAAUGGUAUACCAUGGUAAAGGGGAAUGGUGUAUAAUAAAUUUAGGUAGUCUUAUGGUAGAAGAAAUCUUUAAUUAGUGGUAGGAAAUGUUGUUUUCAAGUGUAUUGAGUGAAUUGAUUGUAAUAUACUAAACAUUUGAUUUGUUCUUUGUCCCUAACUCUGAUGCAUGAGAGGAGAGAGGAGAAUGAAAGGCACCUGACGCUGGAGCGCCCAUAAGACAGAUGUUGCUGUGCUGCAACAAGAGGGGGCUUGCGGAUGAGAGGCUCACCAGGUCCUGCUCCCAUUUGACAGGCCAGUACAGUUUUAUCUACAAACUCUUCUCCUAUGUGUCUGCUGCUACUUAGUUGUACAUACACACAUUUAUAGUGGGAACACAUUUAGUUGGGUGUAUAUAUUUAUUAGUGCUAGACAAUAAGAGCAGUAGUUUUGUGGGUAAAAAGAAAGGCUUGGCAAUAGACUGACCAGUUGAAAGGGCUGAUUAAGUACCGUAGUAUUGUUGAAUAAAAAGAGCAUUUCCAAGAGGUCUUAAUUUUGCUGAAACGUGUGGAUGUGGUUUGUCAUUGCUGCUUGGUAAAAUCACACAGAUUGAUCUUUUACGGGUGUUGAUAAGUUUUAGGCCUCAGGGGAGGCUUCAUGAGAAGCACUAGGGGACAAUCGCGCCCACUCAGAGGACCUGUAAACCCUGAUAGGGGGACAGAACCUGGAUUUUAGGGGUGCCCAGAAGACCUAAAAGGGGGGUGUCAGCUGGUAGUGUCAGGGCCAGAACAAGAGCCAACCAUUGAGGUGAAAGUGAAUGAUAAACCAUUGACAGUUAUGGCAGAUUGCGGAGCUGCUUUCACCUGUGUUGAGAAUAAUUUUAAAGUGGGGAAAAGUUUAAUAAAAAAAAUCCUGAGUACACCCCAUAAUGUCCUCAAUGAGCUGAAUUUUUGAAGCCCAGAAUAGUUUCUGUAGCUCAAAGUUUGUGGGUGGAGAUAGGUGGUGAUGCAGACACAUAUUAACUGUGUGUACAUGAAGUUCUUUUAGACACAGACACACACACACACACACACACACACACACACACACACACACACACACACAUUGCCACACUGUGUGUGUGUGUGUGUGUGUGGUUAAUGAUUGCAUCCUAAACAGCUGUGAGAUUAAAGGCAUUAACUGACCGACUGUUUGAAUGAGAAGCUGCCUCUGGACUUUCUCACAUAGUACGAUUUUCUUAUAACUAUAGUAAGGAAACAUUGAGCUCUGUGAGGAGAGGUGUGCUGAAGUUUGAGUGUGUCAGAGAAGCUUCUGGUGUGUGUGUGUGAGAGGAGUGUGUGUAUGGGUGCUGAGCUGUGUGUGUGAGGGCAAAAGAGUCUGUGUGCAGUGAGUGGUGUGUGCACAAAGUUGGGGAAUGGUCUAGCAUAAAUAUAAGUGAUUAACUUAUGAUAAAGUGAUGAAUGAUGUCUUAUUAAAUAUAUAAUGAUAUGAUAUAAGAAAUUCACAUAUAAGGGAAGAGAUACUGUUGCCUUUGUAGUGUUAAAAACAUAUGAGCCCUGUUUUUCUUUGUACAGGGACGUUAAUAGAAUAAGUAACUGCUAUGAGCCUCUCAGGAUAAAGAGGACGUUUGUACACCUAAUAGUAAGAAAUGAGCCCCUUAUUAGAUGAGGAGGACUUUGGAUGGUGAUAACAUCCUCGAUUAAAAUGGCAACUAAAGAAGUGUACACAAGCACAUUUGUGUUCAUACAGAUACAGGGAAAAAACAGAGUGGGGUAAAAUGAAAUGAUUUGCUAACUGAUGGGUAUGGUUUUCCUCUGUGUGUGUGUGAAUAUUUAAAGUGAAUGGUCACUUGCUGAUGAUUAUGUUUAGAGGGAAAAUCCCAGUUAAAAAUUGGAAAAAUCCAGGGAGCUUUCUCUCCCGCUUUCUUUCUCUUCUUACAGGCCUGAGAACAGAAAGAAAGCUAAAAAAUCUAGUUUAACGAUCCUAGAUGUGUGAAAAUUUUAAAUGGUAUACCAUGGUAAAGGGGAAUGGUGUAUAAUAAAUUUAGGUAGUCUUAUGGUAGAAGAAAUCUUUAAUUAGUGGUAGGAAAUGUUGUUUUCAAGUGUAUUGAGUGAAUUGAUUGUAAUAUACUAAACAUUUGAUUUGUUCUUUGUCCCUAACUCUGAUGCAUGAGAGGAGAGAGGAGAAUGAAAGGCACCUGACGCUGGAGCGCCCAUAAGACAGAUGUUGCUGUGCUGCAACAAGAGGGGGCUUGCGGAUGAGAGGCUCACCAGGUCCUGCUCCCAUUUGACAGGCCAGUACAGUUUUAUCUACAAACUCUUCUCCUAUGUGUCUGCUGCUACUUAGUUGUACAUACACACAUUUAU
rnacentral:lncRNA from 1 species